rnacentral:rRNA from 1 species
AGUAACACGUAGGUAACCUGCCCAUGUGCCCGGGAUAACUUCUGGAAACGGAUGCUAAAACCGGAUAGGUAGCAGACAAGCAUUUGACUGCUAUUAAAGUGGCUAAGGCCAUGAACAUGGAUGGACCUGCGGUGCAUUAGCUAGUUGGUGAGGUAACGGCCCACCAAGGCGACGAUGCAUAGCCGGCCUGAGAGGGCGGACGGCCACAUUGGGACUGAGACACGGCCCAAACUCCUACGGGAGCAGCAUG